rnacentral:rRNA from 1 species
GACGAACGCUGGCGGCGUGCUUAACACAUGCAAGUCGAGCGGAGCGGCGAACGGGUGCGUAACGCGUGCGUAACUGCCCCCCUCUCUGGGAUAACGGUUGGAAACGGCUGCUGAUACCGGAUAGUGGGGGAUGACUCGCGGCCUAUCAGCUUGUGGGUUGGGUAGUGGCCUACCAAGGCGACGACGGGUAGCCGGCCUGAGAGGGCGACCGGCCACAUUGGGCUGAGAUACGGCACAAACUCGUACGGGAGGCAGCAGUGGGGAAUAUGGCACAAUGGGGGAAACCCUGAGGCAGCAACGCCGCGUGCGGGAUGACGGCCUUCGGGUUGUAAACCGCUUUCAGCCAUGACGCGGUAGUGGCAGAAGAAGCACCGGCUAACUACGUGCCAGCAGCCGCGGUAAUUC